rnacentral:lncRNA from 1 species
CGCACAGCUGGGUGUUUUAUUUCCAAUUAACCAGAACUAACAAGCAGAUAGAAUUGGUCUCAUAGUGACACCAGAACAGAUCCAGGGAGUGUGUGAGAUACUGCCAUAAAGAGACCAGCCACCCGACAGCACACUGCUAAGACAGGACAAAGAACUGCUGAUUAUAUUACAUUUCAUUUGCUAAGUAAUUCCGAACAUGGCCUAGUGCUUCUAAAAAAACCUGUAUAAAAUGAGUAUUUUUUUACAUCUCAGGCACAUGAAUACAAAUCUGAGCUAUUUUAUAUAUACAGACAUUUACAUUACAUGAAAAUCUGAGUGGAGAUCAAAUGAAAAAUAAAAGCUUUUAUAAAAAGUACCCCAAACAGCAGAGAUGAAAUGUGACAAUACAAUGCAUUCUCACAACAGAGGAGUAAAAGGCACAAAUACUAAAAUGUAUAACCAUGCAAAAGAUGUACGUCCGACCUGUGCAACAAAGCAAAACAAACGGCUCCCACAAGUGGUUUUACAGUAAUUCUCAGCAUAUCACAGUAUUGAAACAUACUGUAAGUGCAACAUUUACUGCCCCGCAGCACAGUGAAGUGUUCACACCAUACCAAAUUCUCCCUUCCCAUUUCCUUUCUCCAAAGCCAGGAUAAUUUAGCUAAGGAUAAAGUAUUAAAUCAAAUGGAGCUGACGUUGGCUGGUGUAACACAAUCAAUGCUCCAGCUGUCUGGGUGGAAGAGUAAGUGCAGCCCUUCUGCAUCCACUACUUACUGCAUAUUGAACGCGUGUCUACCAGAGCAACCCCUUCCCUGCCCUUGGCCAGGGCACAGUGGGCUUUGCAGAGGUUUGCCAGGGUGAAUUUCACUCUGCUGAGAGCGGUGAUGUGAAAGCUGACAGCUCAGAUGUCACAGUUGCACCACUAACAACACCUACAUAAGUAACACACACAGAUUCUAGGGCUAGGUAGCCAAAAUAUACCAAGGAAGUCCAUGUUUAUUAAUGCUUUCUUCACUAGGCUAAAGUUUAAGUUAAAAAUACUCUCUCCCUAAUUAUAUGUUUCAAUGUGUACUGCUCUCACAGUUGAAAUAAAUUCAAGACCAAAGCCAAUAAACCAAAGGAAAAAAAGAAAAAGAAAAGUGCAUAAGGAAGGCAAUGUAGCACUGCCUGCUGGCUCUGCACUGUCACAAACUGCCUGCAGUCACCCAACCUGCUGAUGUUUCAGUCUGAAUGGGCAGCUGCCAUUAUCUGUAAGUUAUGCUUGCUAGGCUAAGCCAGUAGGUUCGUGCCUUGCAAACAGUGUACAAUUACAGCACGCCAUUGGAUAGCUACACAGGAUCGAGGUAAAGCUUACAGGGAUGCCCCAGUGCUGCGGACUUUAGUCUCACUCACAGUGGGACUGAGGUGGUCCUUCCCUCUGAGCCUCAGCAUAAACCUCAACUUUGUCCUUCAGUGUUCAACCUGCAACUGCUGUAUUUUGAUACAGAAGACUGAAUGACCACAAACGAGAUCUCAGGUGGAAAAAAAAAGCACAUGAAACAUUUAUCAGUGCUAAGGGCGGCCAUGAGAGGCUUCUCUGUGGGUGCCAUCAGUUCUUCCUUCUUCAUUUCUUUUUAUUUUUUCCCCCGAGCAUAACAGAACUCUUCUCUCUUUCCUUUCUUUAGUGGUUAUAGAAAACAAAGGGUGAGAGGCAGUAGGUGAGAAUUUUCUCUAAAUCUUUUUAAAAGGACAACAAGCUACUCACAGUGGGGAUUUCACACCUCUUCUAGUCACUAUAUAAUAAAAAACCCUAAUAAAUAUAAUCCACAGCUCAAGUUCCGCAUUAUUGUGUGCUAGACACACAAGCCUUUGGUUAAAUUACUGAAAGAUUUUGUUUGUAGUGCUCAGCUGAACCAACACUGUCUCCUAAAACAGAGAAUAACCACAGAAGCCCCAGCGAAGCCUCCCUCUGUGCAGAACAGAACCCUUGCAAGGAUUAUAGGAUUCCAACCAACAUAUGUGCAAAGCUUCCAUAAAUGAGAAGAAACUCACACAUGCUACACGCUUCAACACCAAGCUGCCCUGGGAUCAAUAUUUUGGAUUGAGAAAUACUGAGAAAACAAUCCCAAGGUGCUGCCAUGGAACAACGUGCCAGCAGCUGCUGAACGCUUCCUUUCCUUUGAAAUCAGCUGCUGGCUAUACAAGCAGUCAUGCUUUCUUGAGUAUGCUCCUUAAGUAACAAACGACCUAACAAGAGCACGAAUACUACUGCUUAUGCCAGAACCAAUGCAGUUACUGCUUAGUUAAAGUUUGAGUCGGUUUUCACUGAACUCAACGUAAACCACUGAGUGUCAGAUCAGCUGUUGCUUCCUUCCUUGGAAAACAUCCAUGCAGUAUUUGUUUUAAGAAAAAAACACUGUAUACUCACUGCCACUAAAGAAGAAAAGAAGUAUUUACUUGUAAGUUCUAGUUCAAAGACUCAUUGCAUGCCAUUAGCACUAUGACCCAGAGACUGCUGAACAGCGACUGAUGCAGGCCACGAUCAAGGUUCACACACACCUUCCAAACACUCAAUUACUAAACAGAUUAGGCAGUCUAGGUACAGUAGGCCAAGAUCCCUUCUGGAGAGUAGAACAGAGCCUUGCUGCACUCAGACAGCAAGGUGUUUGCUGAUACACCCGUUAAUUAAUGACACUGCACUCAAACGCCUACAGAGCUGGCUGACAACCAUCUGAAUUUCUCCCAAGACCAUAAAAGUAAAGUUUUGGCAGUAAAAGCGUAUGGAUGUUUUUGAGACUUGCUAGAAAUCUAUGUGUUGAUGACUCCUUUGGAAAUAGAUUGGAUGGUUACAGUUUGUCACUGUCACACUUCAAAACACAGCAAACAACUUGAGUCUUUAUUACAAGUUACUAAAAGAGCUGAAAAAUGCUCCGCUGUCAGUACAGUUUUGGAUCAGCACCACGCUCUGAAACCAGUAGCUGAAGGCUGGCAUUUGGAGUGAAGCAGC